rnacentral:miRNA from 9 species
AACCGCUGACUACACUACCUUA